rnacentral:rRNA from 1 species
UGAAUACGAGAUGCUACGGCGUCGAAGCAGUCUAUGUCAUACUUCCAAGAAAAGCUCGCACUGUCAUAAACAAAUAAUGCCUGUACCAUAACCGACACAGGUGGGUAGGUAGAGUAAACUAAGGGGCGCGAGAUAACUCUCUCUAAGGAACUCGGCAAAAUGACUCCGUAACUUCGGGAGAAGGAGUGCCUUAUUUAUAAGGUUGCAAUAACAAGAUCCAAGCAACUGUUUAUCAAAAACACAGGUCUCCGCUAAGUCGUAAGACGAUGUAUGGGGGCUGACGCCUGCCCAGUGCCAGAAGGUUAAAGAAGUUGGUUAGCAUUCGCGAAGCUGAUAACUGAAGCCCUGGUGAACGGCGGCCGUAACAAUAACGGUCCUAAGGUAGCGAAAUUCCUUGUCGGGUAAGUUCCGACCCGCACGAAAGGCGUAAUGAUUUGGAUACUGUCUCGGAGAGGGGCUCGGUGAAAUAGACUUGUCUGUGAAGAUGCGGACUACCUGCACCAGGACAGAAAGACCCUAUGAAGCUUUACUGUAACUUGAGAUUGAAAUUGGACUUUACUUGCGCAGUAUAGGUGGGAGGCGUUGAUAAUAUUCUUGCGGGAUUAUUUGAGCCAUCAGUGAGAUACCACUCUUGUAAUGUUAGAUUUCUAACUUUGUAUCAUUAUCUGGUCAAAGGACAGUUUCAGGCGGGCAGUUUGACUGGGGCGGUCGCCUCCUAAACGGUAACGGAGGCGCACAAAGGUUUCCUCUGAACGGGUAGAAAUCGUAUCUAGAGUGUAAAGGCAUAAGGAAGCUUGACUGUGAGACCUACAAAUCGAGCAGGGACGAAAGUCGGUCUUAGUGAUCUGACGGUGCUGAGUGGAAAGGCCGUCACUCAACGGAUAAAAGUUACUCUAAGGAUAACAGGCUGAUCUCCCCCAAGGGUUCACAUCGACGGGGAGGUUUGGCACCUCGAUGUCGGCUCAUCGCAUCCUGGGGCGGUAGUACGUCCCAAGGGUUGGGCUGUUCGCCCAUGAAAGCGGUACGCGAGCUGGGUUCAGAACGUCGUGAGACAGUUGGGUCCAUAUCCGGUGUAGGCGUUAGAAUAUUGAGAGGAGCCUUCUUUAGUACGAGAGGACCGAGAAGGACAUACCUCUGGUGUACCAGUUAUCGUGCCAACGGUAAACGCUGGGUAGCUAUGUAUGGAGUGGAUAACCGCUGAAAGCAUCUAAGUGGGAAGCCCACCUCAAGAUAAGUAUUCUCA